GUGUUAGCAGCCGCGGUAAUACGUAAGGACCGAGCGUUGUCCGGAAUCAUUGGGCGUAAAGGGUACGUAGGCGGCUAGAAAAGUUAGAAGUCAAAGGCUAUAGCUCAACUAUAGUAAGCUUCUAAAACUAUUUAGCUUGAGAAAUGGAAGGGAAAGUGGAAUUCCUAGUGUAGCGGUGGAAUGCGCAGAUAUUAGGAAGAAUACCGGUGGCGAAGGCGACUUUCUGGCCAUUAUCUGACGCUGAGGUACGAAAGCGUGGGUAGCAAACAGGAUUAGAUACCCUCGUAGUCC
rnacentral:rRNA from 1 species